ACGGGUGCGUAACGCGUGGGAAUCUGCCCUUUGGUUCGGAAUAACAGUUGGAAACGACUGCUAAUACCGGAUGAUGACGUAAGUCCAAAGAUUUAUCGCCAGAGGAUGAGCCCGCGUAGGAUUAGCUAGUUGGUGUGGUAAGAGCGCACCAAGGCGACGAUCCUUAGCUGGUCUGAGAGGAUGAUCAGCCACACUGGGACUGAGACACGGCCCAGACUCCUACGGGAGGCAGCAGUGGGGAAUAUUGGACAAUGGGCGCAAGCCUGAUCCAGCAAUGCCGCGUGAGUGAUGAAGGCCUUAGGGUUGUAAAGCUCUUUUACCCGGGAUGAUAAUGACAGUACCGGGAGAAUAAGCUCCGGCUAACUCCGUGCCAGCAGCCGCGGUAAUACGGAGGGAGCUAGCGUUGUUCGGAAUUACUGGGCGUAAAGCGCACGUAGGCGGCUUUGUAAGUUAGAGGUGAAAGCCUGGAGCUCAACUCCAGAAUUGCCUUUAAGACUGCAUCGCUUGAAUCCAGGAGAGGUGAGUGGAAUUCCGAGUGUAGAGGUGAAAUUCGUAGA
rnacentral:rRNA from 1 species